CUCGAAAUAAACAGUGUCCAACAGGUCAGGAAGCGGGGACAGAGCCCCGAGGUGGCAGUCACAGGAACACUGUUCCACAGUCAGGAAGCGGGGACAGAGCCCCGAGGUGGCAGUCACAGGAACAGUGUUCCACAGGUCAGGAAGCAGGACAGAGCCCCGAGGUGGCAGUCACAGGAACAGUGUUCCAGGUCAGGAAGCGGGACAGAGCCCCGAGGUGGCAGUCACAGGAACAGUGUUCCACAGUCAGGAAGCGGGGACAGAGCCCCGAGGUGGCAGUCACAGGAACAGUGUUCCACAGUCAGGAAGCGGGACAGAGCCCCGAGGUGGCAGUCACAGGAACAGUGUUCCACAGUCAGGAAGCGGGACAGAGCCCCGAGGUGGCAGUCACAGGAACAGUGUUCCACAGUCAGGAAGCAGGACAGAGCCCCGAGGUGGCAGUCACAGGAACAAG